UGCAAGUCGAACGGCAGCACAGGAGAGCUUGCUCUCUGGGUGGCGAGUGGCGGACGGGUGAGGAAUACAUCGGAAUCUACUCUGUCGUGGGGGAUAACGUAGGGAAACUUACGCUAAUACCGCAUACGACCUACGGGUGAAAGCAGGGGAUCUUCGGACCUUGCGCGAUUGAAUGAGCCGAUGUCGGAUUAGCUAGUUGGCGGGGUAAAGGCCCACCAAGGCGACGAUCCGUAGCUGGUCUGAGAGGAUGAUCAGCCACACUGGAACUGAGACACGGUCCAGACUCCUACGGGAGGCAGCAGUGGGGAAUAUUGGACAAUGGGCGCAAGCCUGAUCCAGCCAUACCGCGUGGGUGAAGAAGGCCUUCGGGUUGUAAAGCCCUUUUGUUGGGAAAGAAAUCCAGCCGGCUAAUACCUGGUUGGGAUGACGGUACCCAAAGAAUAAGCACCGGCUAACUUCGUGCCAGCAGCCGCGGUAAUACGAAGGGUGCAAGCGUUACUCGGAAUUACUGGGCGUAAAGCGUGCGUAGGUGGUCGUUUAAGUCCGUUGUGAAAGCCCUGGGCUCAACCUGGGAACUGCAGUGGAUACUGGGCGACUAGAGUGUG
rnacentral:rRNA from 1 species